CACACACAAACACUCUAUCUCUAAGAUAAAUGAAGAAAUCUUAAGAAACAAAAAACUGUUUGGUUAAGUUCCAGGCUUCCAGGCAACAUUUUGAAAAGAUUCUCCUUGUUCUCAGAGCUGCAAACAUCCAGGAGGAAAUCCCUGCUCAGUAUGCAGUAUUUUAUGAUAUGCGUAUCUUUGUUCUUCAUAACUUCAAAACUUUAAAUAAACGUUACUGGUUUAUUGUAUGU
rnacentral:lncRNA from 1 species